AGCAAACAGGAUUAGAUACCUGGUAGUCACGCUGUAAACGAUGUCGAUUUGGAGGUUGUGCCCUUGAGGCGUGGCUUCCGGAGCUAACGCGUUAAAUCGACCGCCUGGGGAGUACGGCCGCAAGGUUAAAACUCAAAUGAAUUGACGGGGGCCCGCACAAGCGGUGGAGCAUGUGGUUUAAUUCGAUGCAACGCGAAGAACCUUACCUACUCUUGACAUCCAGAGAACUUUCCAGAGAUGGAUUGGUGCCUUCGGGAACUCUGAGACAGGUGCUGCAUGGCUGUCGUCAGCUCGUGUUGUGAAAUGUUGGGUUAAGUCCCGCAACGAGCGCAACCCUUAUCCUUUGUUGCCAGCGGUUCGGCCGGGAACUCAAAGGAGACUGCCAGUGAUAAACUGGAGGAAGGUGGGGAUGACGUCAAGUCAUCAUGGCCCUUACGAGUAGGGCUACACACGUGCUACAAUGGCGUAUACAAAGAGAAGCGACCUCGCGAGAGCAAGCGGACCUCAUAAAGUACGUCGUAGUCCGGAUUGGAGUCUGCAACUCGACUCCAUGAAGUCGGAAUCGCUAGUAAUCGUAGAUCAGAAUGCUACGGUGAAUACGUUCCCGGGCCUUGUACACACCGCCCGUCACACCAUGGGAGUGGGUUGCAAAAGAAGUAGGUAGCUUAACCUUCGGGAGGGCGCUUACCACUUUGUGAUUCAUGACUGGGGUGAAGUCGUAACAAGGUAACCA
rnacentral:rRNA from 1 species